rnacentral:tRNA from 1 species
GAAGUUUUUAAAAUAUAAAGUUGUCAACUUUAAGUAGUCUUCA